rnacentral:rRNA from 1 species
AAAUUGAAGAGUUUGAUCAUGGCUCAGAUUGAACGCUGGCGGCAGGCCUAACACAUGCAAGUCGAGCGGUAGCACAGAGAGCUUGCUCUCGGGUGACGAGCGGCGGACGGGUGAGUAAUGUCUGGGAAACUGCCUGAUGGAGGGGGAUAACUACUGGAAACGGUAGCUAAUACCGCAUAAUGUCGCAAGACCAAAGUGGGGGACCUUCGGGCCUCAUGCCAUCAGAUGUGCCCAGAUGGGAUUAGCUAGUAGGUGGGGUAACGGCUCACCUAGGCGACGAUCCCUAGCUGGUCUGAGAGGAUGACCAGCCACACUGGAACUGAGACACGGUCCAGACUCCUACGGGAGGCAGCAGUGGGGAAUAUUGCACAAUGGGCGCAAGCCUGAUGCAGCCAUGCCGCGUGUGUGAAGAAGGCCUUCGGGUUGUAAAGCACUUUCAGCGGGGAGGAAGGCGUUAAGGUUAAUAACCUUGGCGAUUGACGUUACCCGCAGAAGAAGCACCGGCUAACUCCGUGCCAGCAGCCGCGGUAAUACGGAGGGUGCAAGCGUUAAUCGGAAUUACUGGGCGUAAAGCGCACGCAGGCGGUCUGUCAAGUCGGAUGUGAAAUCCCCGGGCUCAACCUGGGAACUGCAUUCGAAACUGGCAGGCUAGAGUCUUGUAGAGGGGGUAGAAUUCCAGGUGUAGCGGUGAAAUGCGUAGAGAUCUGGAGGAAUACCGGUGGCGAAGGCGGCCCCUGGACAAAGACUGACGCUCAGGUGCGAAAGCGUGGGGAGCAAACAGGAUUAGAUACCCUGGUAGUCCACGCCGUAAACGAUGUCGAUUUGGAGGUUGUGCCCUUGAGGCGUGGCUUCCGGAGCUAACGCGUUAAAUCGACCGCCUGGGGAGUACGGCCGCAAGGUUAAAACUCAAAUGAAUUGACGGGGGCCCGCACAAGCGGUGGAGCAUGUGGUUUAAUUCGAUGCAACGCGAAGAACCUUACCUGGUCUUGACAUCCACAGAACUUUCCAGAGAUGGAUUGGUGCCUUCGGGAACUGUGAGACAGGUGCUGCAUGGCUGUCGUCAGCUCGUGUUGUGAAAUGUUGGGUUAAGUCCCGCAACGAGCGCAACCCUUAUCCUUUGUUGCCAGCGGUUAGGCCGGGAACUCAAAGGAGACUGCCAGUGAUAAACUGGAGGAAGGUGGGGAUGACGUCAAGUCAUCAUGGCCCUUACGACCAGGGCUACACACGUGCUACAAUGGCAUAUACAAAGAGAAGCGACCUCGCGAGAGCAAGCGGACCUCAUAAAGUAUGUCGUAGUCCGGAUUGGAGUCUGCAACUCGACUCCAUGAAGUCGGAAUCGCUAGUAAUCGUAGAUCAGAAUGCUACGGUGAAUACGUUCCCGGGCCUUGUACACACCGCCCGUCACACCAUGGGAGUGGGUUGCAAAAGAAGUAGGUAGCUUAACCUUCGGGAGGGCGCUUACCACUUUGUGAUUCAUGACUGGGGUGAAGUCGUAACAAGGUAACCGUAGGGGAACCUGCGGUUGGAUCACCUCCUUACCUUAAAGAA